UUUAAGCAUAUCACUCAGUGGAGGAACCGAAAGCAACUGCGACUGCUCUAGUAAUGGCGAAUGAACCAGAUUGAUGACUCAGCCUGAACGAGGUUCCCUAGCAACCCGUGUGCCCCUCCGGGCCAGUGGUUGCGACAGGCUCUCCUGGAAUCCGACCUGUGGGCUAUGGACUGGCUGGCUCUGAUUGGGUGUGGACCACCUGGCACCAGGAAGAGCCCUGGAAUGGGCCACCACUGCGGGAGACUGUCCCAUACGUGCCUGGUAGUGUGCCGUGGUCCCGCUCGGUUGGGCUGGCUGGAUCCCAGAGUAGAGCUGCUUGGUACUGCAGUUUGAAGUGUGAUGUGUAUCCAUCGCAAGGCUACCCUAUGGACCUGGGACCGAUAGAGCACAAGUAGAGUGAUCGAAGGAUGCAAAGAACUCCGCAAAGAGGGUUAAAAGUCCCUGAAGCUGCAGCAGUUACUGUGGUGAGUGGUGCUGUGGAAGAUCCAGGCAGUCUCAGGCACACCCCGGGCUGGCUACAGAGCCCCCACCUCCGGGUGGGGAUGCCCAUCGUAGCAGCUCCUCGCCAGGGUGUCACUCCGUGUGCUGUGGCCUGAUGACUGCCAGCCAGUCAGAGAGAAGAGAUUCCUGUUGCCAACGAGGGCUCGUGUCCCCAUCGGGACCGGCCCUCAGAGAUUCAGUGGGCAAAACCUGGUGGUGUCUCCGGACGCUGCCAGUCGCCAUGGCCUCCCAGUGGCUUGGGGAGGGCGCCUGUGGGGUGGCUGCACCGUUGUGACGGUGGCCUACCCUGCUGGGCCGCCCAACCCUCCGCUGGGGGUCUGGCGUGGAUGUGUGCAGAUGAGCCUGGCCAUCAUUGGCAGUGCCACUCACUGCCCGUCUCGAAACACGGACCAAGGAGUCUAUGGAGCUUGCCAGGGUUGGAUGGCCCAGAUCUGUGCUAGACCCCUCCGGGGCACAGUGAAGGCAAUCGCUUCCCAUCCCAGAUGGUUCAGGGGCACACUCUGUGCCCCCACAGCAGCAUGGGACACCGGGCCUGCAGUCCAGUGGACAGGGUUUUGAGUGCUUGCAAGGUCCAUGGGACCCGAAAGGUGGUGAACUAUCCCGUUCCACAGUGAAGCCAUGGGAAACUGUGGUGGAAGCUGGUCGCUGUUCUGACGUGCAAAUCGUGUAGCCUGAGAGCGGCAUAGGGGUGAAAGGCCAAUCGAGCCACCUAGUAGCUGGUUCCCUUCGAAGUUUCCCUCAGGAUAGCA
rnacentral:rRNA from 1 species